rnacentral:rRNA from 1 species
CCUACGGGAGGCAGCAGUGGGGAAUAUUGCACAAUGGGGGAAACCCUGAUGCAGCGACGCCGCGUGAGUGAAGAAGUAAUUCGUUAUGUAAAGCUCUAUCAGCAGGGAAGAAAAUGACGGUACCUGAGUAAGAAGCCCCGGCUAACUACGUGCCAGCAGCCGCGGUAAUACGUAGGGGGCAAGCGUUAUCCGGAUUUACUGGGUGUAAAGGGAGCGUAGACGGCAGUGCAAGUCUGGAGUGAAAGGCGGGGGCUCAACCCCCGGACUGCUCUGGAAACUGUACGGCUGGAGUGAAGGAGAGGUAAGUGGAAUUCCUGGUGUAGCAGUGAAAUGCGUAGAUAUUGGGAGGAACACUAGUGGCGAAGGCGGCUUACUGGACUGUAACUGACGUUGAGGCUCGAAGGCGUGGGGAGCGAACAGGAUUAGAUACCCGGGUAGUC